AGGCAGAGAAAGAAGUUCUGUAAUUUGAGAACAAAAGAAUAAUGGUUCACCGUAUAUGAUAAGCCUUCGUAAAGCAAUGAUUUACUUCAUCCGCAUUUUUUAAAAUAAUGUUACGUUUGUAGGCGAUAAAACGUGGAAACCUCUCUCGAGGACCCGUGUCACAGUUAUCGGUGUUCGUCGAUGAUCUAAACAUUCUUCGACAUCCAACAGUUGACGAUCGGUUUCAGUCAGUAGUCGAGCAAAUGUCUAAGGGUUCAAAUCCGAGACUUCGGUCUUUCGGCCUUCGUCACAUUUAAAUAACAAGGAAAAUGAACGUGAGUCGCUUUUUUGGAACCUUUAAGCCCUCUCCCUACACGUUUAUGGAACAUUUACGUGUAACCUCACUGCGUGAUCUGUAAUGAAAUAAGGAGAGAAUGUGUCUUUUGGAUGGGGAAAUUGGGACGAGGGUAAUGGUGAAAUUUGAAUUGGCGAUGAGACUCGGAUUUUUCUCAAAUGUUCAUCGAAGUGUUGUGAAAUAAGACAUUUCAGUUUCUAUAGAAAUUAUGUUGCCCAUGUAUCAGUUGUAAACUCUUCAAAGUAUAGUAUUUAUUAAUUCGUAAAAUUAAAGUCCUGAAUUCAAAAGUCCAAAUUUAUAUAUCUCCAAAAUGUUGGUCUAAUUAAUCGAAUAAGUAUAUUCUUUUUGAAAUGAAUUUUCUUUUUCAACGUGUUGUAUCUACAAUAUGUUAUACCUAUUGCUACUAUUGGUCUUUGUCACAGUAUAUUCCACGGCCUUCUUACGAAGCUUUGGUUCGUACAAAAUCCCCAAUUUUUAGCAGUUGGACUUUAAAUGGUGGCUUUUCAAUUUUUUCUUUCGAGGAAAGUAGAAAUCAUAAAGGGAAAACGGGAUAUCCAUUAACGAAAGGAAAACAUCUGGAAACAAAAAAAUAAUGGAACUUAGUACCAGAACUUGAUAGAAUUGGAUUUUGAAGUUGAGUCCUUCUGAUCACGGUAACGUUUGUAACAUCGAACAAUCUUUUGCAAGGAAGAAGAUGGAAACUAAAAUGGGAAACGAACUUGGGGAAGUUGAACGCAAGAAAUUCCGAGAUAAAUUAAAGGGGAGAAAAGAGAAAAAAAAAGAACUCUAGAAGGAACGAGUGGCAUUCAUCUUUCUAAAUAAAAAAAAGAAAGAAUGGAAGAUACAGCUGCCUCGAUAUUAAUUAUACAAACAAUUAAGCCCUUCUCAGAAAUUUCUCCGGAAGAAUUAAUUAAAACAGUUUAUCUUAAUAUUACGAAAAAUUCAAUUCCAUCCGCCUUUAUUAAAGAACACUCCCGAUAUUAUCGGAUUCGAUAUUGCCAACGUAAUUUCUCUUCCUUCAGCCAGACUGAACUUCGUCCGCCGUUUUCUUUUCACUCGACAAACAAAACGAAACUUUCCUUACCAUCUUCGGUUAUCGAUCUAAGGGAUGAUACGCUACGAUCCAACACAGACAAAUUCUCUAUACGAUACUGAUGAUUUAAUAUUACUAAAUAUUUUAUUUAAUACAACGAAUUUAAAACACCCUAUCGCAAGAUAUGUGAAAAAACAUAUAAUUUCAUACAGAAAGAUGUAGUUAAUCUGGAUAUCUCCUGUACAUGUCCGCCUAUAAAAAGUCUAUUAACAUCAGAUUGUUUCAUCAAAAGCAAGCGAACAAUCUAUUUUUUCUAUUUUACAAUUUAUAGAGUUGAUCAGUGCAAUUUUUAAAUAACUUAUUUGUAUCGAAAGGUAAUUACAACAAAGACUUUUAAUAAACAUAUUCU